AACGAACGCUGGCGGCAUGCCUAACACAUGCAAGUCGAACGAAGCCUUCGGGCUUAGUGGCGCACGGGUGCGUAACGCGUGGGAAUCUGCCCUUGGGUUCGGAAUAACAGUUAGAAAUGACUGCUAAUACCGGAUGAUGUCUUCGGACCAAAGAUUUAUCGCCCAAGGAUGAGCCCGCGUAGGAUUAGGUAGUUGGUGGGGUAAUGGCCCACCAAGCCGACGAUCCUUAGCUGGUCCGAGAGGAUGAACAGCCACACUGGGACUGAGACACGGCCCAGACUCCUACGGGAGGCAGCAGUGGGGAGUAUUGGACAAUGGGCGAAAGCCUGAUCCAGCAAUGCCGCGUGAGUGAUGAAGGCCUUAGGGUUGUAAAGCUCUUUUACCAGGGAUGAUAAUGACAGUACCUGGAGAAUAAGCUCCGGCUAACUCCGUGCCAGCCGCCGCGGUAAGAC
rnacentral:rRNA from 1 species